UUAAAGGCUUGCAAUAAAAAUAAGCAAAAUAAAAACAAUUAUAUUCUAAAAUUCUUACGACUAUACUGAUCGUUCAUUACAAUUUUCAAAAUGUUAUUUCAUUGCCAUUUGCCUAUCAAAACCAUUAACUGUCAGAGUGAACAUUAUAUUUGUCGACGGUUAGUUGUCACUGUGUUAGAUGUCAACUGUUGCAUUGAACAUGUUAAAAAUCAACAUUAAUAAACACUACAAUAACACAAAAGUAAUUAACUAAACGACAGCACAACACAAAUAAACAAAUAAGUGAAACAGCUAUGGUUAAAAGCUCUACAUCUACAUCAUACAUACGUGCAGUAUGUAGUAUACUAUAUUACGACAUUUAAACAUUUAACAAUGUUCAAUGCCAGAUAAUAAUCAUUAUAUCGAUAAGAUGGUAAAGAGAUACAGCUGGAUAAUUCUAGGACAAUCCCAAUAGUAUCAAAGCUGAAAUCGAAGAGAUAACACAUCUAGUAGCAACAAUCGACAAGUACAAAAGCCAUAAAGCAAUCAAACAUUUUCAUUAUGUUAAUUUUCUAAUGCUAAAAAAUAUUAUUUUAUGUCAUAGUGUAAAUACUCAAUUUAAAUUAUUUAGACGUUUAUGUAUCAUUUUAUUUUAUCUCAAAAUUUUUAAACUGUCACUAUUAGAUUCAAAAUUUCAUUAAUAUAAAAAUAAUAUUAUCACUAUACAUAAUAUGUAUAUUUAAGAUUUUGUUA